UUACACAGUAGUGAAGAAGAUCUCUGGUGAGUGUGAGACACCCAGCAGCAAUCCUUGUGUCUCAGGUGGACUAAGCAGGACCCACAGCCCCAUCACAGUUCCUCCACCUCACUCACUGAUACAUGAGAGAGACAGUGACCAGAAAAUCCUGGAACUCACCAACAAGAUCAUUCAGCUGCUGACAGGAGAGGUGGCUGCUGGGUCGUGUCUGAGUGAUGCCUGGAGAGGUGACACCAGGGGACGUGUCUGAGUGAUGCCUGGAGAGGAGGAGGAGUAUAUAGAGGAACACAGGGGUCUGUACAAGGACGUGAUGAUGGAGAAUCACCGGCCCCUCACAUCACUGGAUGGGCCCAGUAACAGAGAUACCCCAGAGAGAUGUCCCCGUCCUCUGUAUUCCCAGGAUUGUACAGAGGAGAAUCACAGGAUCCCACAGGAGG